AUUGAACGCUGGCGGCAUGCCUUACACAUGCAAGUCGAACGGCAGCACGGGUGCUUGCACCUGGUGGCGAGUGACGAACGGGUGAGUAAUACAUCGGAACAUGUCCUGUAGUGGGGGAUAGCCCGGCGAAAGCCGGAUUAAUACCGCAUACGAUCUACGGGUGAAAGCGGGGGACCUUCGGGCCUCGCGCUAUAGGGUUGGCCGAUGGCUGAUUAGCUAGUUGGUGGGGUAAAGGCCUACCAAGGCGACGAUCAGUAGCUGGUCUGAGAGGACGACCAGCCACACUGGGACUGAGACACGGCCCAGACUCCUACGGGAGGCAGCAGUGGGGAAUUUUGGACAAUGGGCGAAAGCCUGAUCCAGCAAUGCCGCGUGUGUGAAGAAGGCCUUCGGGUUGUAAAGCACUUUUGUCCGGAAAGAAAUCCUUGGCCCUAAUACGGUCGGGGGAUGACGGUACCGGAAGAAUAAGCACCGGCUAACUACGUG
rnacentral:rRNA from 1 species